ACAAGCGGUGGAGCAUGUGGUUUAAUUAGAAGCAACGCGCAGAACCUUACCAGCCCUUGACAUGUCCGGCUAUCCAGAGAGAUUUGGAGUUCCCUUCGGGGACCGGAGCACAGGUGCUGCAUGGCUGUCGUCAGCUCGUGUCGUGAGAUGUUGGGUUAAGUCCCGCAACGAGCGCAACCCUCGCCCUUAGUUGCCAGCAUUCAGUUGGGCACUGUAGGGGGACUGCCGGUGAUAAGCCGAGAGGAAGGUGGGGAUGACGUCAAGUCCUCAUGGCCCUUACGGGCUGGGCUACACACGUGCUACAAUGGUGGUGACAGUGGGCAGCGAAGGAGCGAUCCUGAGCUAAUCUCCAAAAGCCAUCUCAGUUCGGAUUGCACUCUGCAACUCGAGUGCAUGAAGUUGGAAUCGCUAGUAAUCGCGG
rnacentral:rRNA from 1 species